UUUGAUCCUGGCUCAGGAUGAACGCUGGCGGCGUGCUUUAACACAUGCAAGUCGAGCGGAGGUAUAUAAUCGGAGAGCUUCGGCAGGAAGAGUAUAUAGCUUAGCGGCGGACGGGUGAGUAACGUGUGGGCAACCUGCCGUAUACAGGGGAAUAAUCAUUGGAAACGAUGACUAAUACCGCAUGUCACCAUUGGGAGGCAUCUCCCGAUGGGAAAAGGAGUAAUCCGGUAUACGAUGGGCCCGCAUCUGAUUAGCUAGUUGGUGAGAUAACAGCUCACCAAGGCAACGAUCAGUAGCCGACCUGAGAGGGUGAUCGGCCACAUUGGGACUGAGACACGGCCCAAACUCCUACGGGAGGCAGCAGUGGGGAAUAUUGCACAAUGGGGGAACCCUGAUGCAGCAACGCCGCGUGAAGGAAGAAGGCUUUCGGGUUGUAAACUUCUAUCAAUAGGGACGAAAAGAAUGACGGUACCUAAAUAAGAAGCCCCGGCUAACUACGUG
rnacentral:rRNA from 1 species